GGGUUGUGAGGUUAAGCGACUAAGCGUACACGGUGGAUGCCCUGGCAGUCAGAGGCGAUGAAGGACGUGCUAAUCUGCGAAAAGCGUCGGUAAGGUGAUAUGAACCGUUAUAACCGGCGAUGUCCGAAUGGGGAAACCCAGUGCAAUUCGUUGCACUAUCGUUAACUGAAUACAUAGGUUAACGAGGCGAACCGGGGGAACUGAAACAUCUAAGUACCCCGAGGAAAAGAAAUCAACCGAGAUUCCCCCAGUAGCGGCGAGCGAACGGGGAGCAGCCCAGAGUCUGAAUCAGCUUGUGUGUUAGUGGAACGGUCUGGAAAGUCCGACGGUACAGGGUGAUAGUCCCGUACACCAAAAUGCACAGGCUGUGAACUCGAAGAGUAGGGCGGGACACGUGGUAUCCUGUCUGAAUAUGGGGGGACCAUCCUCCAAGGCUAAAUACUCCUGACUGACCGAUAGUGAACCAGUACCGUGAGGGAAAGGCGAAAAGAACCCCGGCGAGGGGAGUGAAAAAGAACCUGAAACCGUGUACGUACAAGCAGUGGGAGCACCUUCGGGUGUGACUGCGUACCUUUUGUAUAAUGGGUCAGCGACUUAUAUUCUGUAGCAAGGUUAACCGUAUAGGGGAGCCGCAGGGAAACCGAGUCUUAACUGGGCGUUAAGUUGCAGGGUAUAGACCCGAAACCCGGUGAUCUAGCCAUGGGCAGGUUGAAGGUUGGGUAACACUAACUGGAGGACCGAACCGACUAAUGUUGAAAAAUUAGCGGAUGACUUGUGGCUGGGGGUGAAAGGCCAAUCAAACCGGGAGAUAGCUGGUUCUCCCCGAAAGCUAUUUAGGUAGCGCCUCGUGAAUUCAUCUUCGGGGGUAGAGCACUGUUUCGGCUAGGGGGUCAUCCCGACUUACCAACCCGAUGCAAACUACGAAUACCGAAGAAUGUUAUCACGGGAGACACACGGCGGGUGCUAACGUCCGUCGUGAAGAGGGAAACAACCCAGACCGCCAGCUAAGGUCCCAAAGUCAUGGUUAAGUGGGAAACGAUGUGGGAAGGCACAGACAGCCAGGAUGUUGGCUUAGAAGCAGCCAUCAUUUAAAGAAAGCGUAAUAGCUCACUGGUCGAGUCGGCCUGCGCGGAAGAUGUAACGGGGCUAAACCAUGCACCGAAGCUGCGGCAGCGACACUAUGUGUUGUUGGGUAGGGGAGCGUUCUGUAAGCCUGCGAAGGUGACCUGUGAGGGUUGCUGGAGGUAUCAGAAGUGCGAAUGCUGACAUAAGUAACGAUAAAGCGGGUGAAAAGCCCGCUCGCCGGAAGACCAAGGGUUCCUGUCCAACGUUAAUCGGGGCAGGGUGAGUCGACCCCUAAGGCGAGGCCGAAAGGCGUAGUCGAUGGGAAACAGGUUAAUAUUCCUGUACUUGGUGUUACUGCGAAGGGGGGACGGAGAAGGCUAUGUUAGCCGGGCGACGGUUGUCCCGGUUUAAGCAUGUAGGCUGGUUAUCCAGGCAAAUCCGGAUAAUCAAGGCUGAGGUGUGAUGACGAGGCACUACGGUGCUGAAGUAACAAAUGCCCUGCUUCCAGGAAAAGCCUCUAAGCAUCAGGUAACAUUAAAUCGUACCCCAAACCGACACAGGUGGUCAGGUAGAGAAUACCAAGGCGCUUGAGAGAACUCGGGUGAAGGAACUAGGCAAAAUGGUGCCGUAACUUCGGGAGAAGGCACGCUGGUGUGUAGGUGAAGUCCCUGCGGAUGGAGCUGAGACCAGUCGAAGAUACCAGCUGGCUGCAACUGUUUAUUAAAAACACAGCACUGUGCAAACACGAAAGUGGACGUAUACGGUGUGACGCCUGCCCGGUGCCGGAAGGUUAAUUGAUGGGGUUAUCCGUAAGGAGAAGCUCUUGAUCGAAGCCCCGGUAAACGGCGGCCGUAACUAUAACGGUCCUAAGGUAGCGAAAUUCCUUGUCGGGUAAGUUCCGACCUGCACGAAUGGCGUAAUGAUGGCCAGGCUGUCUCCACCCGAGACUCAGUGAAAUUGAACUCGCUGUGAAGAUGCAGUGUACCCGCGGCAAGACGGAAAGACCCCGUGAACCUUUACUAUAGCUUGACACUGAACAUUGAGCCUUGAUGUGUAGGAUAGGUGGGAGGCUUUGAAGCGUGGACGCCAGUCUGCGUGGAGCCAACCUUGAAAUACCACCCUUUAAUGUUUGAUGUUCUAACGUUGGCCCCUGACCGGGGUUGCGGACAGUGUCUGGUGGGUAGUUUGACUGGGGCGGUCUCCUCCCAAAGCGUAACGGAGGAGCACGAAGGUUAGCUAAUCCUGGUCGGACAUCAGGAGGUUAGUGCAAUGGCAUAAGCUAGCUUGACUGCGAGCGUGACGGCGCGAGCAGGUGCGAAAGCAGGUCAUAGUGAUCCGGUGGUUCUGAAUGGAAGGGCCAUCGCUCAACGGAUAAAAGGUACUCCGGGGAUAACAGGCUGAUACCGCCCAAGAGUUCAUAUCGACGGCGGUGUUUGGCACCUCGAUGUCGGCUCAUCACAUCCUGGGGCUGAAGUAGGUCCCAAGGGUAUGGCUGUUCGCCAUUUAAAGUGGUACGCGAGCUGGGUUUAGAACGUCGUGAGACAGUUCGGUCCCUAUCUCGCCGUGGGCGCUGGAGAAUUGAGGGGGCUGCUCCUAGUACGAGAGGACCGGAGUGGACGCAUCACUGGUGUUCGGGUUGUCAUGCCAAUGGCACUGCCCGGUAGCUAAAUGCGGAAGAGAUAAGUGCUGAAAGCAUCUAAGCACGAAACUUGCCCCGAGAUGAGUUCUCCCUGAGACUUUAAGUCUCCUGAAGGAACGUUGAAGACGACGACGUUGAUAGGCCGGGUGUGUAAGCGCAGCGAUGCGUUGAGCUAACCGGUACUAAUGAACCGUGAGGCUUAACCUUACAACGCCGAAG
rnacentral:rRNA from 1 species